CUUUACUGUAGCUUUGUAUUGGACUUUGAACGGAUCUGUGUAGGAUAGGUGGGAGGCUUUGAAGUGUGGUCGCUAGAUCACAUGGAGCCAACGUUGAAAUACCACCCUGGUGCGUUUGAGGUUCUAACCCAGGUCCCUUAUCGGGAUCGGGGACAGUGCAUGGUAGGCAGUUUGACUGGGGCGGUCUCCUCCCAAAGCGUAACGGAGGAGUUCGAAGGUACGCUAGUUACGGUCGGACAUCGUGACGAUAGUGCAAUGGCAUAAGCGUGCUUAACUGCGAGACUGACAAGUCGAGCAGAUGCGAAAGCAGGACAUAGUGAUCCGGUGGUUCUGUAUGGAAGGGCCAUCGCUCAACGGAUAAAAGGUA
rnacentral:rRNA from 1 species